CUUCUUCUUCCUUCACGCCAUCAAUUAUCAUCUUGUUCUUUUUCUUCUUCUUCCACCAUCAUCAUCCCUAACUAAAACCCUAUUUCAUUAACUUGCCCUUGGUCGGUCCUUUCUCUCUCCUCACCGUCACUUUCCUUCAAUUCUUUCAUCCCUCCUAAAAAAAAUCACCAUUUUCUCUCUCCUCAAGCUACAACAAUGGUGGAUUUGCAAUCCGUUUUAUUACCGAAUAGCAGCAACAUCAACAACGACACUUCAUUAAUCUGGGUUUUCAAAUUGAUUUUUUUUACAAAUAUUUUGUUUGGUAGAAUUGAUUUUUUUUUUUUUUGCAAUUACCCCCAUUUGAUAUUUUUGGGGUUUUCAUUAAUCUGGGUUUUCGAAGAUGGAAGAAAGGUGGAUUGUUUAUAGGAAGGGGCAAGAUUGUUGAAAUGGCGGUGGAGCGCCGCCAUCGCUUGCAUGUUAGUCGGAGGUUUUUUAGAUCACCAUGGAGCAAUUUAGCAAUUGAUCUCACUAUUUCAACAUGGAAUGUUGGAACAGCUUGUCUUUGGCCGUUUACUCCUCAUCUCAAUCUUUUUUCAGUUAAGCAAGUUAUGCGGUUCGUGCUCUUUGCGUCAUCAAUUGUUCAAUACAGUUUCAGUAAUGGCGGCUGGGGCGCCAUUCUCACUGAUCUUUAUGCUCGCAAGGUUUAUAUUUGGAACAUUUAGUUCAUUUGUUUUCAUUUUUUUGGGUGUUACUUUUAAUUGUGAAAUUUGUUGUCUUUGGUGCUGAAAUUAGGGUAUUCAUGAAUCAAUUAUUUGAUUGAGAAUGCUGGCAAUUAUUUAUUUUGAUUGAGGUGGGGAUUAACAAUGAAGUUUGAGAAAGAAAAGAGAAAGAGAAAGUGACAGAGAAAGAGAAAGAUAAAGAUAAAGGAAAAAAAAGGGAAAAAAAUAAUAAUUUAAUGUUAACGGAAAAGUUAACGGAAUAGACGGAAAAUACUCAUUAAGGGCAUUUUGUGUUAUUGUUUAAAACCUCGGGGGUAUUUGGUGCAUUCUGGAAAGUUUAGGGGUAUUUGGUGCAUUAAAGCAAACCUCAGGGGCAUUUCAUGAAAAAUCCGUUAUUUUAAUCAAUAAAAUUCAUUGUGGUGUCUCUCACACUUUCCCACUGAGGCAUUAAAUCUCUCAUUUUUCCAAUGUCGAAUUUUAUAGAAAGGUGAAAACAUUAUUACAAACGUAAUUUGCAUUGUAAAAAAAACCUUUAUCUAUAUUAGUUAUCCAUUAAAUCGUAUGCAAGGUACCAAACGCAAAGAUUAAAAAGGGGUGAAGGUAGCAGUUGACAAAUACCUACUACCCUACUACGAAAAGAAACUCUUUACCAUUAGAUUUAUCAAAUAGAGUCAUAGUAUUAAAUAUGCUAAUUAUCAAUACAUAUGGUUAUAAUGUAGUCAAACGAAUAUGAUAUCUUUAUAUCUUUAUAUUGUUUCUUAAUAGUUAGCCAAACAGCUAAAUGAUUAAGGUAAGCAUCUACAUUUAUAUGCAAAUUAGUGAAAUAUUUUUUUAUUGAACUUUGUUUACUGGAAUUCAAAAUUUGUACAAGUCUUAUAGAUGAAUUUCUCCCUUUUAUAAGUAAAGAUAUUAUUUUCUUUAAAAUGAACUAUUCACAUCAUAAAUAUGUUUUACCAUGGCAAAUUUAAAGUUAGUAGAGUUCAUAAAUAAGUUGAUAAUUUCAAUAUAUUUAAAUGGUACUCUUUUCGUUGUUUUUAAGUGAUUUAUUUUCUUUAAUCGGCCAUUUUAUUUAUGUCUAUCAUUUUAUAUUCUAGAAACUUCUAUAAUUUUUUCUUAUUAUUUUUCUCUCUUCUCACUUCCUUACUCUCAUUACCCCAGUUUGGUUGAUUUAGUGUUAAUUGCCUAUAACAGUCGUUCUUUUUUUCAAAAAAGUUUUGUACUUCUAUUUCAGAAAAUAGUGUAUACUAUUUUAUUAUAUCUCUCUCUUCCUGUAGUCCCCACUCCUAAUUAAAUUAAUAUUUCUCUUUUUCAAAUGGUCACGAUCCAUACUCAAACAAUUUUUUCUCGCAAUAAAUUAUUCGCCGAUUACCAAUUUCGUACAAUAAGUAAUUAUUCCACUCACCCACUUGAAUUUAACUAAUAAAUUUAACGGUUUUUUCAUGAAAUGCCCCUGAGGUUUUCAAUAAUGCACCAAAUACCCUCGCGUCUUUCGAAUCACAUAAUAUACCCCUAUUUUUUCGUAUUGUUCAUGAAAUGCACUUGCAGUUAACGGACGUUAGUCCUCCGUUAGCUAUAGUUUACCAUUUUGCCCUUAAUGCAUGUUCUUUGGCAUAAAUUCCAAAAAAUCAAAAAAAUCUCAACUUCUUCUCUUUCUCUCUCCUCUCCCCUGUUCUUCAUCCUGCUCUCUAGUCGCCGGUAGCGGCCGAUCUCCCCUCUCUGUUCGCCGGCGGAGGCCGAUCUCCGAUAUAUGGUCGCCGGCGAGCCUAACUGUUUGACUGAGAUUCUUGGUUCGUUGUUUUGACCGUUCUUGCAAUUUCUUCUGCUAGGUUUGAUUUCUUCAAAUUAAUUCUUAGUUCUUUUGAUUUCUAGGCGUUUCUGCUGGGUUUGAUUUCGUUGACUGAGAUGAAUGUUGGUGAAUUUCUGGGCGUUUUUGCUUUGGUUUGAUUCGCUGCCCAGAGAGUUUUAGAUUUGAUUUUGAGGGUGCCUGGAAACGAUCAAUCCCGACUCUAUGCUGCACCUGCUGCAAGAAUGGGUAUGACUAGAAGAGUGUACCCUCUUGGUUCUUUGAACCCUUACCAAGGGAACUGGACCAUCAAAGUCCGAGUUACCAGCAAGGGGACACUACAAACCUUCUAUAAUGAGAGAGGAGAAGGGAAUGUCUUCAAUGUUGAGCUAACUAAUGAAUAUGGUACUCAAAUACAAGCAACGAUGUUCAAUGCGAUAGAGAAGAAGUUCUUUGACACCUUUGAAGCAGGGAAGGUUUAAUACAUCUCAAAGGGAUCUGUUGAAUUGAAGUUGCUAAUAAGAGGUUCAACACGACUAAAAAUGACUACGAGAUGACCAUCAAUGAGAACUCAGUUGUUGAGGUAGCCAGUGUUGAAAGGGUAUAUAUCCCUGAAACAAAGUUCAACUUUGUUCCUAUUGAUCAGUUGGGUAUACAUGUUGAUGGAAAGGAUCUUGUAGGCAAGAAAUGCAGCCUUUAACAACAACACUUGUUUCUCACAAUACCAAUCACUUGUAUUUUAUUUUGUAGAUGUUAUUAGAGUUGUUCAUAAUGUUUCUCUGACAAUGAGUAUUUCAAUAACGCAAGGAAACCUGUUAUUAGCAGUGAAAUUCGUUGCCUCUGCCUAAUUUAGUUUCAUGAUAUUUGGGUUUUUUUUCUUCAGAACAACCAAGUUGUUGAGGUAGCCUAAUUUAGUCAUUUCAUGAUAGAGUUAGAAGGUUCAAACUACCUUGAGUUGCUCUUCUGAAAAUUGAAACUGAUGAAUUAUGAGGAGGCAAUGUGACUAGAUUCAAACUAGCCGUUAGAUUCAAUUCGUGCAAUUUGAGUAUUUGGUGCAAAUAACUUUACAAAUAGGUGUAUAUUGUGCAAUAAGUUUAUAAAUAGGGGCAUUUUGUGAAUUAUAAACAUGACUUAACGGAGGACUAACGGAAUGUCAAAUUAGGGGUAUUUGGUGCAAAUUUAUGCAAAAAUAGGGGUAUAUUAUGUGAUUCAAAAGACGCGAGGGUAUUUGGUGCAUUAUUGCAAACCUGAGGGACAUUUCAUGAAAAAACCGUAAAUUUAAUUUAAACUCCUAAAACAAUGUCACGGUCAAACUAAAAACACUUAAGAAAAACGGGCUCAUUACUGUAAUCUUUCUCUCUCCUAAUGCCCCACACAUACUCACACCAUAUUUUUCGACUAAUAACUAGUCCAUCCACUAACAUUAUUUUACAAUUAAGGAUCCACCCACUAUUUAAGAUUAAGAAACCACCCACUUACUCCACAUACAGAUUAUUAUAUAUUAAACUCAAGUCAAUCUUCAAAACUAGGUGUCAGUCAAACUGAUGCUCUUAAAAAAAAUGGGUAGUAUAAUACAAUUUCUGAAGUCAAGCAACUUCAAAAGUUAUUAUCCUAAACUAUAAAAUUUAUAAUUGCUUCACGUCGGGUAAUUAUUUAUAUUCUAUAUAAAAUACCUAAAAUAAAAUUUAUACACUACAUAAAUUAAAUUUAGCCAUGUUUUAUAAUUUUUGGUUUCUACUUUUCUACUUUUCAUAAAACUUUAAACAAAAGUAUAUAAAUCAAAAAGUGCUACCAUUUUUUGUUGCCCUUUUUAAAAAAUAACAUGAUUGUUGUAAGUGCGACUGAAUUUAAAUUCAUGAUUCAAUAUAAAUUAUACUGCAUCUGAUUUUAAUAAGUGUGUCAAUCUCACAUAGUUGGUCGCUUUUAUUUAAAUGCUUUAAGGAAAUUUCUACAAUUUUUGAAAUUGCUUUCCCCUAAUAUGCUUUCGACUCCAAAUUAAUUUUAUGUCUCUCAUACAUGCCCCCUACACAUACAUACACUAUCCUUUCAUUAGAACAAAUAAUACACCAACUAUAUUUUUCAUACAAUAAGGAAUUCACCCACUUGCAUAAUAUUAUACACAAUGUUAAUGAGGUCUUGGUCAACCUACUAAAAAUA